rnacentral:rRNA from 1 species
UGGGUAAUAUUGCACAAUGGAGGGAACUCUGAUGCAGCGACGCCGCGUGAACGAAGAAGGCUUUCGAGUCGUAAAGUUCUUUUAUAUGGGAAGAUAAUGACGGUACCAUAAGAAAAAGCCCCGGCUAACUACCUGCCAGCAGCCGCGGUAAUACGUAGGGGGCUAGCGUUGUCCGGAAUCACUGAGGGUAAAGGGUUCGCAGGCGGAAAUGCAAGUCAGGUGUAAAAGGCAGUAGCUUAACUACUGUAAGCAUUUGAAACUGCAUAUCUUGAGAAGAGUAGAGGUAAGUGGAAUUUUUAGUGUAGCGGUGAAAUGCGUAGAUAUUAAAAAGAAUACCGGUGGCGAAGGCGACGUACUGGGCUCAUUCUGACGCUGAGGAACGAAAGCGUGGGUAGCAAACAGG